rnacentral:misc_RNA from 1 species
UUGAUUACGUCCCUGCCCUUUGUACACACCGCCCGUCGCUGCCCGGGACUGAGUUGUUUCGAGAAAAGCGGAGACUGCUUCUCUGAGCGCUUUCGAGCGCAAAUUGAGGCGAGAACCGCGUUAAUCGAAACGGCUUGAACCGGGCAAAAGUCGUAACAAGGUUUCCGUAGGUGAACCUGCGGAAGGAUCAUUAUUGAGCUUAUUCAUUUCUUGAAUAUUUGAUCGGAACAACGCAGUACGCUUCUAAGCGUUGCUUCUCGAUCGCUAACGGCUUUGAAUGGUUUCUAGAGGUGUCUGGAGCAGCUGUAUGAGCGUGGCUGUGGUGAAGGACAUUUAACGUCGUAUGCUAGGAUUGUCACAGUCUCUUGUGCCUAGCGACGAGAAUUAAAGAGGUCAGUCGGAGACCCGCCGUUCAUAACACUACUAUUAACGUUUUUUUGUUACUGCAAUCACGAAAGUGUUGCGUAAAUAUUAUCAAGUCUUAUCGGUGGAUCACUCGGUUCGUAGUUCGAUGAAAAACGGGGCAAAAACCGUUAUUUGGCGUGAAUUGCAGACAUAUUGAACGCUAAAAUUUUGAACGCAAAUGGCACUAUCAGGUUUAUAUCUGUUAGUAUGUUUGGUUGAGGGUCGAUUAACUCGUUACUUGCAGUCUGCUUCGACUGUUUAUUCGAUUAGCUACGCUUGCCUUUGGCGAGUGUACCUUCUCGGUGUGAACGCUGUUUAAUGCGAUAGGACAAUGGAGGUUCGAUGCGCGCGUCUCUUGCGCUCGUGACUUCUGCUAUCAUAUCGGUUCUGUGCGUUUUGGCUAUGGCGCGUCUCUUGCCAGCUAACUUGUACGCUCGCUUGCGUAUGUAAUGUUUCUUGAAGUUAGUAGUAGUCAUUUUGUUGUGUGGAAACACGCGACUAACGCGCUCUAGAAUCAAUUCGAUGUUUUCGAAUUACGACCUCAACUCAAGCAAGGCUACCCGCUGAACUUAAGCAUAUCAGUAAGCGGAGGAAAAGAAACUAACUAGGAUUUCCUUAGUAACGGCGAGUGAAA